CAUGCAAGUCGAACGGUGAUGGGGAGCUUGCUCUCCGGAUCAGUGGCGAACGGGUGAGUAACACGUGAGCAAUCUGCCCCUGACUCUGGGAUAAGCGCUGGAAACGGCGUCUAAUACUGGAUACGAGCUGCGAUCGCAUGGUCAGCAGUUGGAAAGAAUUUCGGUCAGGGAUGAGCUCGCGGCCUAUCAGCUUGUUGGUGAGGUAAUGGCUCACCAAGGCGUCGACGGGUAGCCGGCCUGAGAGGGUGACCGGCCACACUGGGACUGAGACACGGCCCAGACUCCUACGGGAGGCAGCAGUGGGGAAUAUUGCACAAUGGGCGCAAGCCUGAUGCAGCAACGCCGCGUGAGGGACGACGGCCUUCGGGUUGUAAACCUCUUUUAGCAGGGAAGAAGCGAAAGUGACGGUACCUGCAGAAAAAGCACCGGCUAACUACGUGCCAGCAGCCGCGGUAAUACGUAGGGUGCAAGCGUUAUCCGGAAUUAUUGGGCGUAAAGAGCUCGUAGGCGGUUUGUCGCGUCUGCUGUGAAAACCCGAGGCUCAACCUCGGGCCUGCAGUGGGUACGGGCAGACUAGAGUGCGGUAGGGGAGAUUGGAAUUCCUGGUGUAGCGGUGGAAUGCGCAGAUAUCAGGAGGAACACCGAUGGCGAAGGCAGAUCUCUGGGCCGUAACUGACGCUGAGGAGCGAAAGGGUGGGGAGCAAACAGGCUUAGAUACCCUGGUAGUCCACCCCGUAAACGUUGGGAACUAGUUGUGGGGUCCAUUCCACGGAUUCCGUGACGCAGCUAACGCAUUAAGUUCCCCGCCUGGGGAGUACGGCCGCAAGGCUAAAACUCAAAGGAAUUGACGGGGACCCGCACAAGCGGCGGAGCAUGCGGAUUAAUUCGAUGCAACGCGAAGAACCUUACCAAGGCUUGACAUAUACGAGAACGCUGCAGAAAUGUGGAACUCUUU
rnacentral:rRNA from 1 species